CCGCUCGCACACGAGUUGCUCCGGCGCGCGGUGAUCGGCGCUCCCACCUGCUGCAGGGCUACAGAACGCCGCUCCCAGGCUGUCCUCAGAUAAAGAAGCUCUGUCCCUGACGAGUACUGCUGGCCAUCAUCUCUGACCCAAGCACACAGAACAAGGCAGGCAUGAGACCCCGUGGGACCUGACCCCAUAGCAUCUGACCCUGCUGGGCUUUGCAGGAAAGAAGGGAACAGCUGACACCCACCAGCAGUGCCACAGGAAUCAGCUCCAGCCCCAGAUGGACUGGGUCACACAAGAAAUUUGCAGGGGCACAUCAUUUCUAGGUCACAUCACCUCAGCAGACUGAAUGCGUGAAGGGGACUCCACUGUGAUCUCCAAGACCAUUGUAGGCCCAAAUUUGGUUUGGAAGGAACUCCAGGGCUGCCUGGUAGAGGCUCACUCCAAGCAUCUAUAGAACCACUGACAGCAGAACCGUUCCACCCAUGCAACUGCACUAUGGAUCCAUGUGGCAACCUCACAAACCCUUCAAGAAACAUGGACUUCCCUCUGCAGCUGCUGGUCGGGUCCUGCCUGGCCCUGCUCAUCGUAUUCACUCUCUGUGGUAACAUCGUUGUGUGCCUGGCCGUCACUCUGGACCGCCGGCUCCGCAGCCUGACCAACUGCAUCAUCGUCUCGUUGGCCAUCACUGACCUGCUGCUGGCCCUGCUGGUGCUGCCCUUCUCCGCCUUCUAUGAGCUCACCAGCGAGUGGCCCUUUGGCAGCACGUUGUGCAACAUCUACCUCAGCCUGGAUGUCAUGCUGUGCACGGCCUCCAUCCUCAACCUCUUCAUUAUCAGCCUGGACCGCUACUUCGCCGUCACCACCCCGCUGCGCUACCAGCAGCUGGUCACCCCAUCCCGCGUGGCUGUGGCCCUGGUUGUUAUUUGGACAGUUUCACUGAUGGUCUCCUUCCUCCCCAUCCACCUGGGGUGGAAUACCAAUGGGACAACGGUUCAGAACACUACACCCAACUGCACCAGGGAGUGCAAGCUGGAGGUGAAUUCUGUGUACGGACUGGUGGAUGCCUUGCUCACCUUCUAUAUCCCUCUGGUCAUCAUGUGCGUCACCUACUACCGGAUAUUCAAGAUAGCGAGGGAGCAAGCCAAGAGGAUAAACCACACGUGGUGCUGCAGCAGCAACAGCCCCAUGCCACCCAUGGUGAAGGAGCACAAAGCCACUGUGACUCUGGCAGUGGUGAUGGGAGCCUUCAUCAUUUGCUGGUUCCCCUAUUUCACAGUGUUCACAUACAGAGGGGUGUGGGGGGACAGCAGUGUGAAAGGCACACCCAUGUCCAUCGUCCUCUGGCUGGGCUAUGCCAACUCAGCACUGAACCCCAUCCUCUACGGGACAUUCAACAGAGAUUUUCAGGUGGCAUACCAGCACUUGCUGCACUGCUGCAGGACAGGGGACCCCAAGAACUCCCUACAGAAGGGUCAGCCCUGGGGCAGGAGCUGCAGGGAGAGCCUGGAUGGACAGGAGGGGAAAUGCCUGAAGCUGGAGAUGAGGAAUGGGAAGGGCAUCUUGCUGACAGAUGGAGCCCUGCAGAGUGACGGAGCUUUCCCGUGAGCCUCAGCCACCCCAUCUCCUGGCCUCCUCUCCCAGCUGCCCUCUUCCAGCACUCUGCAAGGCUGAAAGGACACAGCCAGACUUCCCUUGGGGAGAAACCUGAGAGCAGAGGCAAGGGCUGCAGGGAUCCCUGUGCUGGCACGUGGCACUUGCUGUCUCCCCAGAUGAUGCUGGAAAAGCCUAUGCCUGCCCACGUUUCUUACCAGGAGCACAGAAGAACCUGCACCAUCAGGGCCCAUGACACCUCCAGCACUGAGCCCUACGUUAGUGGGUUGAGAGCCAGGGUGCACCCCAGCAGGUCUGGGGUUCAGGCACAGCAGGAAAAAAGAGAUGCAGCCACAGCCUCGGUGCCAGACAGCCCAACCCAGGACCGGCACUACGCCCCGCGGUGCUCCAUCAAAGGGAAACAUCCACCGCCCAGGGGGCCCGGCAGAGGGGGUGAGGUGACGGGAGAGCUAUCGACGGCCAGAUCACAACACGUGCAGCCCCGCAGCAUCCUCAUGGUCCAAAGAAGAGCCCCACCUCGGGGAUACUGGGGCGUCCCCAGCUCUUUGUGGGCUUCACACGCUCAGCCCCACGGCAAGGAGAGAGGACCCGGAGCCACGGGAGCCGCCGAGCAGUGUGGCUGCCCCCAGGCUCUUUCCCCAGCAGCAGCUCAACGCCAAGUCUGCAAAAACAGGAUGUCUGCAAGCGAGCCUGGGCAGAACUCAGCCAUACAAAAUCCCGUUUAACACAGAGGCAGAACAGCACGAUUGAUUUCUCCCAGCACACUCUACCUCGAGAAGAGCUCCCCGUAGCCCCCCAUUCCCCUGUACCUCACCCCUUCCUCUCCGCCGCGCUCACGCACAGCGCAACCGCAGGGACGCGGCUGGAGC